rnacentral:rRNA from 1 species
AUAACGACUCUCGGCAACGGAUAUCUCGGCUCUCGCAUCGAUGAAGAACGUAGCGAAAUGCGAUACUUGGUGUGAAUUGCAGAAUCCCGUGAACCAUCGAGUCUUUGAACGCAAGUUGCGCCCGAAGCCAUUAGGUCGAGGGCACGCCUGCCUGGGCGUCUCAC